rnacentral:rRNA from 1 species
CAUGCAAGUCGAGCGGUAGCACAGAGAGCUUGCUCUCGGGUGACGAGCGGCGGACNUUUUGAGUAAUGUCUGGGAAACUGCCUGAUGGAGGGGGAUAACUACUGGAAACGGUAGCUAAUACCGCAUAACGUCGCAAGACCAAAGUGGGGGACCUUCGGGCCUCAUGCCAUCAGAUGUGCCCAGAUGGGAUUAGCUGGUAGGUGGGGUAACGGCUCACCUAGGCGACGAUCCCUAGCUGGUCUGAGAGGAUGACCAGCCACACUGGAACUGAGACACGGUCCAGACUCCUACGGGAGGCAGCAGUGGGGAAUAUUGCACAAUGGGCGCAAGCCUGAUGCAGCCAUGCCGCGUGUGUGAAGAAGGCCUUCGGGUUGUAAAGCACUUUCAGCGGGGAGGAAGGCGGUGAGGUUAAUAACCUCANCGAUUGACGUUACCCGCAGAAGAAGCACCGGCUAACUCCGUGCCAGCAGCCGCGGUAAUACGGAGGGUGCAAGCGUUAAUCGGAAUUACUGGGCGUAAAGCGCACGCAGGCGGUCUGUCAAGUCGGAUGUGAAAUCCCCGGGCUCAACCUGGGAACUGCAUUCGAAACUGGCAGGCUAGAGUCUUGUAGAGGGGGGUAGAAUUCCAGGUGUAGCGGUGAAAUGCGUAGAGAUCUGGAGGAAUACCGGUGGCGAAGGCGGCCCCCUGGACAAAGACUGACGCUCAGGUGCGAAAGCGUGGGGAGCAAACAGGAUUAGAUACCCUGGUAGUCCACGCUGUAAACGAUGUCGAUUUGGAGGUUGUGCCCUUGAGGCGUGGCUUCCGGAGCUAACGCGUUAAAUCGACCGCCUGGGGAGUACGGCCGCAAGGUUAAAACUCAAAUGAAUUGACGGGGGCCCGCACAAGCGGUGGAGCAUGUGGUUUAAUUCGAUGCAACGCGAAGAACCUUACCUGGUCUUGACAUCCACAGAACUUUCCAGAGAUGGAUUGGUGCCUUCGGGAACUGUGAGACAGGUGCUGCAUGGCUGUCGUCAGCUCGUGUUGUGAAAUGUUGGGUUAAGUCCCGCAACGAGCGCAACCCUUAUCCUUUGUUGCCAGCGGUUAGGCCGGGAACUCAAAGGAGACUGCCAGUGAUAAACUGGAGGAAGGUGGGGAUGACGUCAAGUCAUCAUGGCCCUUACGACCAGGGCUACACACGUGCUACAAUGGCAUAUACAAAGAGAAGCGACCUCGCGAGAGCAAGCGGACCUCAUAAAGUAUGUCGUAGUCCGGAUUGGAGUCUGCAACUCGACUCCAUGAAGUCGGAAUCGCUAGUAAUCGUAGAUCAGAAUGCUACGGUGAAUACGUUCCCGGGCCUUGUACACACCGCCCGUCACACCAUGGGAGUGGGUUGCAAAAGAAGUAGGUAGCUUAACCUUCGGGAGGGCGCUUACCACUUUGUGAUUCAUGACUGGGGUGAAGUCGUAACAAGGUAACC